CCUACGGGGGGCAGCAGUGGGGAAUAUUGCACAAUGGGCGCAAGCCUGAUGCAGCCAUGCCGCGUGUGUGAAGAAGGCCUUCGGGUUGUAAAGCACUUUCAGCGGGGAGGAAGGCGGUGAGGUUAAUAACCUCAUCGAUUGACGUUACCCGCAGAAGAAGCACCGGCUAACUCCGUGCCAGCAGCCGCGGUAAUACGGAGGGUGCAAGCGUUAAUCGGAAUUACUGGGCGUAAAGCGCACGCAGGCGGUCUGUCAAGUCGGAUGUGAAAUCCCCGGGCUCAACCUGGGAACUGCAUUCGAAACUGGCAGGCUAGAGUCUUGUAGAGGGGGGUAGAAUUCCAGGUGUAGCGGUGAAAUGCGUAGAGAUCUGGAGGAAUACCGGUGGCGAAGGCGGCCCCCUGGACAAAGACUGACGCUCAGGUGCGAAGGCGUGGGGAGCAAACAGGAUUAGAUACCCCAGUAGUC
rnacentral:rRNA from 1 species